rnacentral:misc_RNA from 1 species
GAUGAAGAACGCAGCGAAAUGCGAUAAGUAAUGUGAAUUGCAGAAUUCAGUGAAUCAUCGAAUCUUUGAACGCACAUUGCGCCCGCUGGUAUUCCGGCGGGCAUGCCUGUUCGAGCGUCAUUUCAACCCUCAAGCUCUCCGGAGUUUGGUGUUGGGGCGCCUGGGGCUUUUCGACCUCAGGGCCCUCAAGUCCAUCGGCGGGACCGCCAGGACACUGAGCGCAGUAGUAUUAUUUCGCUCGGUAGGAUCUUCCACGGCGGGUCGAUCUGGCCGCUAAACCCCCCAAUUCUCACCAAAGGUUGACCUCGGAUCAGGUAGGAAUACCCGCUGAACUUAAGCAUAUCAAAAGCGGAGGA